CAACAACUAAACCGACAACAACUAAACCUACAACAACAACGACAACAACUAAACCAACAACAACAACUGAAAACACCUCAAAAUCCGUUACAGCCACAACAACCAAAGAUCCUUCAACAAAACAAGAUUUGCUGCUCAAGGUGUCUGUUGGAGUUGCCGCCCUGUUAAUAGUUGUUAUUGUUGUUGCUCUCAUCAUAUGGAAGAAAACUAAAGGAAAAAAAACCCAGAUGGAUGAAAACACUGUGAGUUUUACG